AAAUAAAUAAGACAUGAAGAUGUAAUUGCCGUAUAAGGAAUGUAGUCAAUGAUAUUGUAACAACUGUAUGGUGACAGAUGAUAACUAGACUUAUUGUGGUGACUGUUUCAUAAUGUAUAUAAAUAUAUCACUGUUCUACAGCUGAAGCUAACACAAUAUUAUAUGUCAAUUAUUCAAUAAUAAAUAAUAAGUUUUUGGCCAAAUCAAAGCCAGGUCCUAUUAUCAUCAUCAUAAAAUGAUAAUAGGAUAAGUCUGCAGUUUAUCCAAAAAUAUUUAUUACAAUUUUGCUUAAAGAAUUUAGAAGUCAAUGCUUUAGAGUUUGACAGAAUGCAGGGUAAAGUAUUGUUACUAGACUACCUGCAGACACUAUACAUAUUUGAUACAAUAAAAUGUACAGGUUUGAGAGGCAAUCUACUAUAAUCAUUUUAAUAAAUUGUUUUUUUAUCCUCCAUUUAAAGGUUGUUGAGGAUUUAAUGAGUCAGAAGAAAAUGAGUUUUCACUACCACUUUUUUCACUGAUACUUUCUUCAUAUACUUUGUGAUAAAGAUGAUUCAUCCAGUAUAUUAUAAUAAAUUAUUGUAUGACUACCAA